rnacentral:lncRNA from 1 species
ACACUGUCUCUACUAAAAAUACAAAAAUUAGCCAAGCAUGGUGGUGGGCACCUGUAAUCCCAGCUACUCCCGAGGCUGAGGCAGGAGAUUCACUUGAACCCGGGAAGUGGAGGUUGCAGUGAGCUGAGAUCGUGCCAUUGUACUCCAGCCUGAGCAAUAAAAGCAUGACUCCUUCUAAAAAAAAAAAUAGAUGGCAGCACAUCCACUAAAAUUGAAACAAUAUAGAGAAGAUCAGCAUGAUCCCUGCACAUGGGUGACACACAAAUUUGUGAGGUGUUCUAUAUUUCUUGCAGUCCCCAAAAGGACCUUGGACUACUAUCUUACUAGCUCCAAGGAAAUGGUGUGAGUCAAUGAAAAAUGGUGACACCCAAUAUUGAAACUGUGAUUUUCACACAAAAAUAUUUAUGUAAGAUGAUCUAUGGAAUGAGAUUGUGCCGGGAAACACAUGGGAUGUUGUGUGCAAUAUAUUGCUAGUAGGCAUCUAGGAAAUGAGAAAAUAACAGCUUCCAUCCCCAUCAUGGAACUUAAAAAAAAUAAAGGUAAGGUUUUUUCUUCCACAGCAGUUGGAGAUGAACAUGGGGAGUAAGCAUUAUUUCAACAAAGAUUUAUUGGUUCAGAGUUUGGGAAGUUUGGUAAAGAAUAUUAGGAGUCCAAGCCAGGUCUUGACAUUCAACAGUUUUCUGCCCUGGGUGUGAUUGAUGAACUCAGCAACAGGAGAUAAUCAUGUUGUCUGAUUUGAUGAAUUAACAUAUUUAUAAAUAAUUUUUAUUACAAAUUAUGAAAUAGAUGCCCUGAAUUACAAGCCAUAAAAAAAGAACAUCUAAUAAUCAAGAGUAGGACUUAAUAACAUUUUCUGAAAACUGCAACAUUUGAAUAGUAGAACCUAUGAAGAAAUACACUUUUUUUAAAAUUUAUUUUUAAUUUGUAGAGAUAGGGUCUCUCUAUGUUGCCCAGGCUGGUCUUGAACUCCUGGGCUCAAGCAGUCCUCCUGUCUCAGCCUCCCAAAGUGCUGGCAUCACAGGCAUGAGCCUCUGCAUCUGACAAACACAUUGGGUUUUAUUUGGGAUUUUAAAAUAGUUUCAGCAGUAAGGUUCAAGAAUAAAUUAUUCCAUCGCUUCACUACUUCUCUGAGCAUUUUUUCAAAUGCUGUCUUGUGAAGUCUUUAUAAUAACCUAGUUAAAUAAGGCACUACAAGUCUCACUUUUAGAGGAAGACAUUGAGCCUAAGAGAAGCAACUUAAUCAAGAACGAAUUGGUUGCAGAGCUGAGAUUUAUUCUGAGUUGAGGACAUUUUCCGUUACGUCAGCCUAACUCUAGUUCAUUUACUGAGCUAUAUUGCCUUCAAUUCAUGAGUAUUUCACCUUACUUUCUUCUUUAACUAAAAGUUUAAGAAGUUCACAGAGCUCACAAAUUUGAAGCCUAUGAAAUGAGUAAAGUUCUCAGAUUAGCUCUAAUAUUGUCUGGAAUACUCUAAUAAUUUAACAUAUUCAGUAAAUUUUUUCAUAUCAGUGUUAAAAUAGUACUUUUAUUGAUUGCAUAUUUCUUUUUUUCUCAGCCUUUUCACUGAAUUUUUU